GACGGGAGUUUUUCUUUGUGUACCAUUCUCGUUCAACAGAAUUACUGGCAAAAACCUAAAGCAGGAAUUCUACGAGAACCUUGAUAGAUAUAGUCCACGGUUCAUGGACCUUUUUAAAGCCAAAAGGGGGACUCCUGGUCGGUACUUGGCUAACUUUUUAAAUCAAAUAAAGUCAGCCCAGCCAACGGAGGUCCGAACCCUUGUGAUUCGAGGACUACCUAUCAUGCUUGGAGAUGAUGACUCCUCUUUCUUCAAGU